UACGUAGGGUGCAAGCGUUAAUCGGAAUUACUGGGCGUAAAGCGUGCGCAGGCGGUUGUGCAAGACAGAUGUGAAAUCCCCGGGCUUAACCUGGGAACUGCAUUUGUGACUGCACGGCUAGAGUGUGUCAGAGGGGGGGUAGAAUUCCACGUGUAGCAGUGAAAUGCGUAGAUAUGUGGAGGAAUACCGAUGGCGAAGCAGCCCCCUGGGAUAACACUGACGCUCAUGCACGAAAAGCGUGGGGAGCAAAACAGG
rnacentral:rRNA from 1 species